AACGAAUUUGAUUUUUGGGUAUUGCGGUUGCUAAGCAAACUGUAAAAUUGCCGGUGUUGACAAGAAUAAGGUUCAAUUGCCGCAAAUGGGGGCGAAAGAAUACGGGUUCGAAUCCCGUUGAACCGUUUAAGAUGCACCUCGGGAUGCGAAUCACGAGGGAAGGGCCGAGAGUCAAACCAAUGACUUUUCGAGGCCGUGUAAAGGUUUGCACACAGGACGUUAAAUGGGUUUAGCGGAGCAU
rnacentral:misc_RNA from 1 species